rnacentral:lncRNA from 1 species
CAGGAGGCAGUAAUGAAAGAAGAAUUUAAACUUCAGCUUCAAUAUUCACCAACAAGCAUGCAGUAGUUUAAUACAGCUGUACAAUAAAUGCAUUUUUAUGUGGUAGAAGGCAAGAUCAAGAUGGCCUGAUUCUGCCAUCACACAGCCAACAGGGAUGGAAAGAGCAUUUUCUUAAAUGUGCAGCCUUUUUACUAAAAUAGCCCAGAUGGUCCUAAUGGGUAUUUGUAAGUACUCUUUUUUUCUUUCAAUCGUUCUGCAAAUAUUUAUAAACACCUCAUGUACCAGUUGUUGAGGGUACACCAGGGAAUGAGACAUGGAUGGUUCCUAACUUCAUAGAGCUUAUAUUCCACUGGAGAAGACAAAUCAUAAGAGAGUGUCUGUCCUUAAACCAAGAGAUGAUGAACAAACUGACCCAGGCCAUGAAAGGACUUGGACAGACCACCCUGACUUUUGGAGAGAAAACAACAUCUGAGCAAGUCAUCGCAGAACUUUAA